UAUGUGCUUAUGACAUAUUUUAAAUUCCAUUAUCGAUUUAAUCAGAGUUUAUAAAACCUUGAAAAAAUAGGCCCUGGAAAUUUAUACGCCGGGGAAGAAAUCCCCGCCUUCCACCCCUACAUCCGGUCUUGCUUAGGUUCGUGGUUCCUAAACAAUAUUUUUUGAAAACGGGAAAAGUACAUAAGUUUUUAGCAGUAUAGAGCUAUGCCCCCUAACGUUU